rnacentral:tRNA from 2 species
GGGGUGUUAGCUCAGUUUUGGUUAGAGCGCUGGCCUGUCAAGCCAGAGGUCGCGGGUUCAAGUCCCGUACAUCCCGCCA